GCCGAUGGGAUCGAAGCCGGGCGGGCCGGAGCACCGCUCUCCUAAAGCGGGUGUCGCAGGUUCGAAUCCUGCCGGGGGCACCA
rnacentral:tRNA from 1 species